rnacentral:pre_miRNA from 11 species
CCUCGCGUCGAGCCCCACGCACAAGACCUGACGUGAAUGUUUUGUUCGUUCGGCUCGCGUUAGGCAGGU